rnacentral:rRNA from 1 species
UUUCAAUUUUCUGCCCUAUCAACUUUUCGACGGUAGGGUAGUGGCCUACCGUGGUGGUAACGGGUAACGGAGGAUUAGGGUUCGAUUCCGGAGAGGGAGCCUGAGAAACGGCUACCACAUCCAAGGAAGGCAGCAGGCGCGCAAAUUACCCAAAUCCCAAUUCGGGGAGGUAGUGACAAGAAAUAACGAUGCUCCGGCCUCACGGUCGGGUAAUCGGAAUGAGAACAAUUUAAAUCCCUUAUCGAGGAUCAAUUGGAGGGCAAGUCUGGUGCCAGCAGCCGCGGUAAUUCCAGCUCCAAUAGCGUAUAUUUAAGUUGCUGCGGUUAAAAAGCUCGUAGUCGGAUUUCGGGUGGUGCCUACCGGUCCGCCUUUGGUGAGUACUGGUAGGCGCUACCUUUCUGCCGAGGACGGGGUACUGGGCUUAAUUGUCUGGGCCCCGGAGUCGGCGACGUCACUUUGAGUAAAUUAGGGUGUUCAAAGCAGGCUUAUGCUCUGUAUACACUAGCAUGGGAUGACACGAUAGGACUUCGGUUUAUCUUGUCGGUCUGUAGAUCGGAGUAAUGAUUAAGAGGGACAGUCGGGGGCAUUCGUAUUUCGUAGUCAGAGGUGAAAUUCUUGGAUUUACGGAAGACGAACUUCUGCGAAAGCAUUUGCCAAGGAUGUUUUCAUUGAUCAAGAACGAAAGUCGGGGGCUCGAAGACAAUUAGAUACCGUCGUAGUCUCGACCAUAAACGAUGCC